CCAACGGUUAACAUUACGCCUACAACUACAGCCAAUACUGCCCCUUGCCUAAAAUAGAAUUCUCCUAUCCAACCGGUAGAAAAGUUUACCCGAAAAUGAAAAAUAAGGCACAAAGUGCAUUCAGCAGAGAGAAAAACCCCAUUGAUUUGCUAGCCCCAUGAAUGGAUAUAGCGGAGGAGAGAGUUGACGUCUUCUGCAACCCUUGUAGGGCACCGCAAUAUCUAACGUUAUCUGGCGGAGCCAUCUCUGUUGCACCGUUUUCCUCAGGAUUGAUGAUUCUCAUAUACGUUUCAUGGCCAAGAUACCAUCUAUCAAGGUUUUCUACUCUAAGAUUCCAUAUUCCAACAUUGUCCAGAGAGACAAGGACUGCUGUCCAUCCCCCAGGGUAAAC
rnacentral:misc_RNA from 1 species